GCCUGGGUGGCUCAGGUGGUUAAGCGUCUGACUUCGGCUCAGGUCAUGAUCUCACGGUUGGUGGGUUCGAGCCCCGCAUCGGGCU
rnacentral:tRNA from 1 species